rnacentral:rRNA from 1 species
UUGAAAAGAGGGUGAAAAGAGCCUGAAACCGUCACGGGGGAAGCGGAUUGCGUUGGAUUGGUGGGCGCUUGUGUGUUCAGCCUUCGGGUGCAUUGGCACAAGUGCUUAUCCGCUGUGAGUUUUCGGGGGUCGAUUUUGGAUCCCUGGAGACUGAGGGCUCCCUUUUAGGUGAGGACAGCGGAGUGACGACGCGAUACGACCCGUCUUGAAACACGGACCAAGGAGUCUAGCGCGGGUGCGAGUCGGAGGGUGCAAGCCCGUGGGCGAAGUGAAAGCGAGUUUAAAAACGAGCAGUUUGGGGCGGCAUAAGAUCGUUGAUCUUAAGACCGACCCAGAGCAGUUGCGCUGGGACCCGAAAGAUGGUGAACUAUGCCGGAGUAGGGCAAAGCCAGAGGAAACUCUGGUGGAGGCUCGUAGCGGUGCUGACGUGCAAAUCGCUCGUCGAACUUGGGUAUAGGGGCGAAAGACUAAUCGAACCAUCUAGUAGCUGGUUCCCUCCGAAGUUUCUCUCAGGAUAGCGGGCCGACAAGUUGUUUUGUGCGGUAAAGCGAAUGAUUAGCGCAAUUGGGGGCGUCAAGCCUUCGGGCGAUUCUCAAACUUUCAAUGCGCAAGGGUGCCGCUGCUUAAUUG